AUUAUAUUAUUAUAUUAAAUGAUCUGAAUGGCUUCUUCAAGCUUAUGAGAUUUACUAUUCUUAGUUAAAGAAUUUACUUUGCUUUUCAUCUUCAAUCACUACAGAAUAAUGAGGAAUAUUGUCUGAACUUCUUACUGAGAGGAAGUAUAUCUAAUCAGUAUGUUUAGGGAAAGCUUCCUGGUCAGAGCUAUAACUCGACCAGAUCCAGCCUUGAGGAGUGUUGUGGUUUUGUGUGUGUGUGUGUGUGCACUCUGUUGUCACAGGAUGUUCGGAGCGGAACCGAUCGUCUGACGAGACGACUCGAAGCCUAAAAACUCAGCUCGAUGACGUCAGUAGUUCACAGUGUGCCAAAACCAGAAUAUGACUGACGUCCAGAUAAUCGAUGGAGACAUUCUUCUGACGCACAGCCAGAUGUAGCAUCUACGAACACCUUCUUGAACGACUUUCUGCUGAAGAACCUGCAAACUAUUCUUCAGUAAACUGUUCUGGUCUUCAGUGAUCCUAUCUGGUCCCAUCUUGGUCUUUAACUGUAAAUUCCCCUACAAUGGCCUCCCUACGCACUUUGCAAGGCGUGAUCACCAUGUUAACUUUUUCACCAUGAUGGAAUGUGGACAUCACCAUAGGAUGAUGCCGCAAUACCACUUCUGUACUUUUUCCUGCUACACUUCACAAAUGGUCACAAUUUGAUUGCUUUCAGCUGCUUGUGUACUAUAGAUGAUGCAAAAUAAUGUAACCUAAAUACAUAUGCAGUGACCACGGAGUGUAUAAUGUACAUUAUGCUAUAUGAAAAAUAUAGGCGAUAAAGUUAUGCAUUGGUUAUAAACACCUCAGUUAUUUUGAUAAGAAUAUCUCAAAUAAAAUUUCAUGACUUUCAAGUACAGCGGUUAAGUGAGAUCGAACUUAAAAGCACAUCUUUCAUGCAUCUUAAAGUUCUUGACACCAUGCACCAUUUUCUCUCACUUCAGCGUCAGGGUGUCAUCUUCUAUAACCUCACCCUCCUUGUUCUUGUCCUUCUUGAAUCACAUCCUUAAGUUUCAGGGAGGACGAAACUCUUUCGCCAUGUUAUUAUUGUAAUUACAAAUCACAGGUAUCAUCGCAGUUUGAUAGAACAGACAAACCUUAACCGUGUAUAGUUGUUAGUAUUCAUACAGCGCCGCCCGGCGGGUCUCUGCUAUCUUUAGAACGCUAACUGAUUUUAGACUGGAGUGACUAAUUUACCUAAGGGACAAGCUUAGCGGCUGUUCUGCGGUAUGAAUAAUCACUCAGCGCUAAAAGACGGAACAUCGCAAUGAGUCACGGUGUUAAGUGAUUCAUAAAAUCACUUUUUUUUAAAUUCAUUUUAUUGUUCUUUUUAAAUCGAAUCCUUUUCUCUUCUCCACCCGUUUACAAACUGAACUUGAUUUCAUUCAACAAGUAGAAAAUACACUAAUAAUAACAGACCUGAGAAAGGGGAAGGGAAGGGAGAAAAAAAAAAAAAACAGGUCUCUCAUCACACUGGCACUUACAUCAGCUGGAAGGCAGCUCAGCUUGCCUUUAAAACCAACAUUCCCCAAGAACAAUAAACAAUGCCAUGAUAUAUAAAAUAUAUUAAGGAAUAAAUAUCUCAUUUAUAGGUUAUGCGUCAGCUUGGAGUAGUAAAAUAAUCUUCGUCGAGCCCUUUAUAGAAAUGCAGGACAUCCUCUUGAGAACGGCUGCAGCAAUCCAAUCGCACCCGUACGUGCGAAUGUGAGCGUUAAGAAAUAACAUGAUGCACCGAUCCAAUUUUGGCUAGUAUGGUAUUCUCAGGAAGGCAGGAAACUUCAUGAUCGUACCUUGCUUUCAGCGUCACACAGGCGUGUGUACACAGCUGAUGGCAAUGCAGGAGCAUUCUCUGUGUAAUUAGAAUAGCUGCUGGAUGCCUGAUCUACUCCUGUCCUACGCUCGUCCUCUAGACCAGGGGUCAUCGACUGG